GCCGGGCAUGGUGGCGCGUGCCUGUAAUCCCAGCUACUUGGGAGGCUGAGGCAGAAUCACUUGAAACCGGGAGGCAGAGGUUGCAGUGAGCUGAGAUCGCACCACUGCACUUCAGCUUGGGUGACAGAGAGAGACUCAGUCUCCAAAAAAAAAAGAGAAAUAGGGUCUUGCUUUGUCACCCAGGGUGAAGUGCAGUGGUGCGAUCACGGCUCACUGCAGCCUCAAACUCCUGGGCUCAAGAGAUCCUCCU
ensembl:misc_RNA Metazoa_SRP Metazoan signal recognition particle RNA